CUGGUUGGUAUAAAUGAGCCUUUUUCUCUUAUCCUACUGUAGUGGUUACCUUGGUGUAUUAUUACCAUCAAUUAUCCCCACCAUGCAUGAUAGACUAUCAGUGUCGACCUUAGUAACUUCUAUAUCCUCUGUUAUCUAAUCGUCAUGUUUCACAUCCAAAAUCUGUAAAGCAGAAAAGCGAGAUGUAUUGGCCACGAUC
rnacentral:lncRNA from 1 species